GCCUGGGUGGCUCAGUCGGUUGAGCAUCCGACUUCAGCUCAGAUCAUGAUCUCACGGUCUGUGGGUUCAAGCCCUGCAUCAUGCG
rnacentral:tRNA from 1 species